rnacentral:rRNA from 1 species
CCCUUAGAUGUUCUGGGCCGCACGCGCGCUACACUGAAUGGAUCAACGUGUUUUCCCUUCCCGAGAGGGACGGGUAACCCGCUGAACCCCAUUCGUGGUAGGGAUCGGAGCUUGCAAUUGUUCUCCGUGAACCAGGAAUUCCCAGUAAGCGCAAGUCAUAAGCUUGCGUUGAUUACGUCCCUGCCCUUUGUACACACCGCCCGUCGCUACUACCGAUUGAACGUUUUAGUGAGGUACUCGGACUGAGCCUCAGAAGAUUCACGUCUUUUGUGCUGCUCGGGAAGAUUCCCAAACUUGAGCGUUUAGAGGAAGUAAAAGUCGUAACA